rnacentral:rRNA from 1 species
CGGCUUUGCAAGUCUCUCGGGAAAUCCGGCGGCUUAACCGCCGGGCGUCCGGGGGGUACUACAUUGCUUGGGACUGGGAGAGGUAGGAGGUACUCGGGGGGUAGGAGUGAAAUCCUGUAAUCCCCUGGGGACCACCGGUGGCGAAGGCGUCCUACCAGAACAGGUCCGACGGUGAGGGACGAAAGCUAGGGGCACGAACCGGAUUAGAUACCCGGGUAGUCCUAGCCGUAAACGAUGCUCGCUAGGUGUCACGGCAAUCGUGAAUUGCCGUGGUGCCGUAGGGAAGCCGUGAAGCGAGCCACUUGGGAAGUACGACCGCAAGGUUGAAACUUAAAGGAAUUGGCGGGGAGCACCACAACGGGUGGAGCCUGCGGUUUAAUUGGACUCAACGCCGGGAAGCUUAUCGGGAUCGACAGUUGGAUGAAGGCCAGGCCGAAGACCUUGCCGGACUAUCUGAGAGGAGGUGCAUGGCCGCCGUCAGUUCGUACCGUGAGGCGUCCUGUUAAGUCAGGCAACGAGCGAGACCCAUAUCCACUGUUGCUAACGCUUCUGCAAAGAAGGCGAGUACACGGUGGAGACCGCUGGCGCUAAGUCAGAGGAAGGGGUGGUCGACGGUAGGUCCG